AUUCAGUGAAUCAUCGAAUCUUUGAACGCACCUUGCACCUUUUGGUUAUUCCAAAAGGUACGCCUGUUUGAGUGUCAU
rnacentral:rRNA from 1 species